rnacentral:rRNA from 1 species
AUGAACGCUAGCUACAGGCUUAACACAUGCAAGUCGAGGGGCAGCAUGGUCUUAGCUUGCUAAGGCCGAUGGCGACCGGCGCACGGGUGAGUAACACGUAUCCAACCUGCCGUCUACUCUUGGACAGCCUUCUGAAAGGAAGAUUAAUACAAGAUGGCAUCAUGAGUCCGCAUGUUCACAUGAUUAAAGGUAUUCCGGUAGACGAUGGGGAUGCGUUCCAUUAGAUAGUAGGCGGGGUAACGGCCCACCUAGUCUUCGAUGGAUAGGGGUUCUGAGAGGAAGGUCCCCCACAUUGGAACUGAGACACGGUCCAAACUCCUACGGGAGGCAGCAGUGAGGAAUAUUGGUCAAUGGGCGAGAGCCUGAACCAGCCAAGUAGCGUGAAGGAUGACUGCCCUAUGGGUUGUAAACUUCUUUUAUAAAGGAAUAAAGUCGGGUAUGGAUACCCGUUUGCAUGUACUUUAUGAAUAAGGAUCGGCUAACUCCGUGCCAGCAGCCGCGGUAAUACGGAGGAUCCGAGCGUUAUCCGGAUUUAUUGGGUUUAAAGGGAGCGUAGAUGGAUGUUUAAGUCAGUUGUGAAAGUUUGCGGCUCAACCGUAAAAUUGCAGUUGAUACUGGAUAUCUUGAGUGCAGUUGAGGCAGGCGGAAUUCGUGGUGUAGCGGUGAAAUGCUUAGAUAUCACGAAGAACUCCGAUUGCGAAGGCAGCCUGCUAAGCUGCAACUGACAUUGAGGCUCGAAAGUGUGGGUAUCAAACAGGAUUAGAUACCCUGGUAGUCCACACGGUAAACGAUGAAUACUCGCUGUUUGCGAUAUACAGCAAGCGGCCAAGCGAAAGCGUUAAGUAUUCCACCUGGGGAGUACGCCGGCAACGGUGAAACUCAAAGGAAUUGACGGGGGCCCGCACAAGCGGAGGAACAUGUGGUUUAAUUCGAUGAUACGCGAGGAACCUUACCCGGGCUUAAAUUGCAGAUGAAUUACGGUGAAAGCCGUAAGCCGCAAGGCAUCUGUGAAGGUGCUGCAUGGUUGUCGUCAGCUCGUGCCGUGAGGUGUCGGCUUAAGUGCCAUAACGAGCGCAACCCUUGUUGUCAGUUACUAACAGGUUCUGCUGAGGACUCUGACAAGACUGCCAUCGUAAGAUGUGAGGAAGGUGGGGAUGACGUCAAAUCAGCACGGCCCUUACGUCCGGGGCUACACACGUGUUACAAUGGGGGGUACAGAGGGCCGCUACCACGCGAGUGGAUGCCAAUCCCCAAAACCUCUCUCAGUUCGGACUGGAGUCUGCAACCCGACUCCACGAAGCUGGAUUCGCUAGUAAUCGCGCAUCAGCCACGGCGCGGUGAAUACGUUCCCGGGCCUUGUACACACCGCCCGUCAAGCCAUGGGAGCCGGGGGUACCUGAAGUGCGUAACCGCGAGGAGCGCCCUAGGGUAAAACUGGUGACUGGGGCU